rnacentral:ribozyme from 1 species
AAAGAAAGAAAGCAAGAAGGAAAAAAAAGAAAAAAGAA